rnacentral:rRNA from 1 species
UAGAGUUUGAUCCUGGCUCAGAUUGAACGCUGGCGGCAUGCCUUACACAUGCAAGUCGAACGGUAACAGGUUAAGCUGACGAGUGGCGAACGGGUGAGUAAUAUAUCGGAACGUGCCCAGUCGUGGGGGAUAACUGCUCGAAAGAGCAGCUAAUACCGCAUACGACCUGAGGGUGAGAGCGGGGGAUCGCAAGACCUCGCGCGAUUGGAGCGGCCGAUAUCAGAUUAGGUAGUUGGUGGGGUAAAGGCCCACCAAGCCAACGAUCUGUAGCUGGUCUGAGAGGACGACCAGCCACACUGGGACUAAGACACGGCCCAGACUCCUACGGGAGGCAGCAGUGGGGAAUUUUGGACAAUGGGCGCAAGCCUGAUCCAGCCAUGCCGCGUGCGGGAAGAAGGCCUUCGGGUUGUAAACCGCUUUUGUCAGGGAAGAAAAGGUUCUGGUUAAUACCUGGGACUCAUGACGGUACCUGAAGAAUAAGCACCGGCUAACUACGUGCCAGCAGCCCCGGUCAA